GGAUGCGAUCAUACCAGCACUAAUACACCGGAUCCCAUCAGAACUCCGAAGUCAAGUGUCCCUUGGGGAGAGUCAUAGUACUAGGAUGAGUGGACCCCCUGGGAAGUCCUCGUGUUGCAUCCC
rnacentral:rRNA from 1 species